GGGCUCGAGUGGCGAACGGGUGAGUAACACGUGAGUAACCUGCCCUUGACUUUGGGAUAACUUCAGGAAACUGGGGCUAAUACCGGAUAGGAGCUCCUGCUGCAUGGUGGGGGUUGGAAAGUUUCGGCGGUUGGGGAUGGACUCGCGGCUUAUCAGCUUGUUGGUGGGGUAGUGGCUUACCAAGGCUUUGACGGGUAGCCGGCCUGAGAGGGUGACCGGCCACAUUGGGACUGAGAUACGGCCCAGACUCCUACGGGAGGCAGCAGUGNGGAAUAUUGCACAAUGGGCGGAAGCCUGAUGCAGCAACGCCGCGUGCGGGAUGACGGCCUUCGGGUUGUAAACCGCUUUCGCUGUGACGAAGCGUGAGUGACGGUAAUGGGUAAAGAGCACCGGCUAACUACGUGCCAGCAGCCGCGGUGAUACGUAGGGUGCGAGCGUUGUCCGGAUUUAUUGGGCGAAAGGGCUCGUAGGUGGUUGAUCGCGUCGGAAGGUAAUCUUGGGGCUUAACCCUGAGCGUGCUUUCGAUACGGGUUGACUUGAGGAAGGUAGGGGNGAAUGGAAUUCCUGGUGGAGCGGUGGAAUGCGCAGAUAUCAGGAGGAACACCAGUGGCGAAGGCNGUUCUCUGGGCCUUUCCUGACGCUGAGGAGCGAAAGCGUGGGGAGCGAACAGGCUUAGAUACCCUGGUAGUCCACGCUGUAAACGGUGGGUACUAGGUGUGGGGUCCAUUCCACGGGUUCCGUGCCGUAGCAACGCUUUAAGUACCCCGCCUGGGGAGUACGGCCGCAAGGCUAAAACUCAAAGGAAUUGACGGGGGCCCGCACAAGCGGCGGAGCAUGCGGAUUAAUUCGAUGCAACGCGAAGAACCUUACCUGGGUUUGACAUGGAUCGGAGUGCUCAGAGAUGGGUGUGCCUCUUUUGGGGUCGGUUCACAGGUGGUGCAUGGCUGUCGUCAGCUCGUGUCGUGAGAUGUUGGGUUAAGUCCCGCAACGAGCGCAACCC
rnacentral:rRNA from 1 species